AGAGUUUGAUCCUGGCUCAGGAUGAACGCUAGCGGCAGGCUUCAUACAUGCAAGUCGAGGGGCAGCAUAAAUUACUUGUAAUUUGAUGGCGACCGGCGAACGGGUGCGUAACGCGUAUGCAACUUACCUUUUACUAGAGAAUAGCCAAGAGAAAUUUUGAUUAAUGCUCUAUGUUCUUAUUUACUCGCAUGAGUAAAUAAGCAAAGCUCCGGCGGUAAAAGAUGGGCAUGCGUCCUAUUAGCUUGUAGGUGAGGUAACGGCUCACCUAAGCUCCGAUAGGUAGGGGUCCUGAGAGGGAGAUCCCCCACACUGGUACUGAGACACGGACCAGACUUCUACGGAAGGCAGCAGUAAGGAAUAUUGGACAAUGGAGGCAACUCUGAUCCAGCCAUGCCGCGUGAAGGAAGACGGCCUUAUGGGUUGUAGACUUCUUUUAUACAGGAAGAAACCUUUCCACGUGUGGAAAGCUGACGGUACUGUAAGAAUAAGGAUCGGCUAACUCCGUGCCAGCAGCCGCGGUAAUACGGAGGAUCCAAGCGUUAUCCGGAAUUAUUGGGUUUAAAGGGUCCGCAGGCUGUUUGUUAAGUCAGAGGUGAAAGCCUACCGCUCAACGGUAGAACUGCCUUUGAUACUGGCAAACUUGAGUUAUUGUGAAGUAGUUAGAAUGUGUAGUGUAGCGGUGAAAUGCAUAGAUAUUACACAGAAUACCGAUUGCGAAAGCAGAUUACUAACAAUAUACUGACGCUGAGGGACGAAAGCGUGGGUAGCGAACAGGAUUAGAUACCCUGGUAGUCCACGCCGUAAACGAUGGUCACUAGCUGUUCGAUGUACAUUGGUACAUUGAGUGGCUAAGCGAAAGUGAUAAGUGACCCACCUGGGGAGUACGCUCGCAAGAGUGAAACUCAAGGGAAUUGACGG
rnacentral:rRNA from 1 species